GACCUACGCGAGGACAAAACAGCAAAACCAAAGCGCUCAGCCGCUCGCGAGGAGCGAAAGGCGAGCGCGCAGCCGGGCGCCCGUGGCGGAGGCGAAACCCCCGCCGCCGCAUCGCCCUGAGACCCUCCGGUUCGGCCCGGGCCGAGCUCGAGCCCGCGCAAUCUCGCCGCCGGCGGGCUUGAUCUGAUCCAAGGCCACCGCGCGCCGGCGCGGGCGGCGAGGAAUGGGGAGCGUGGACGGCCGCGGGGUCGAGGGGAUCCACGAAGCUAAUCGGCGCGCGCAGUUGAUUGGAUGGAUGAAUGCCUUACUCCCGGAAUUCAGUUUGCCUCCGGAUUCAUCGAGUGAAGAGCUGCGAGAGCUGCUCAGUGACGGCGUGGUCCUGUGCCGUCUUGUGAACACACUCAUCCCGGGGGUUCUUGAGGGAUCCUGGGAGGGUUAUGCACCGUCAGAUCAGAGGUUAGGCAACGUGAAGAAAUUCCUCUCGGUGGUCUCUGAUAUGGGGCUGCCAGGCUUCAGUUUGAAAGAUCUUGAUGAGGGAUUAAUGUCUUCUGUAGUGGAAUGUCUCUUGGUUUUGAGGGGCAGUGUGGAUCCUAGAUUAGGUGAUGAUAUUCCACCAGAUGUUACCAGAACUCCUUUGAGAAAACAAUGGGGAGUUCAGGAAAUGGACAAGCCUCAAGUUCCCGCUGCAGCACUAGGGAAAAGAUCCCCUGCAGAGGACAUGAGAAACGGCGUUGCAGAUUCCAAAACCCAUCAGAAAACUUCUGUCUUUUCUGGACAAAAGGUUCGUGAAGUUUUCCAAUUAAAACGCGGAUCAUAUUCAGAUCUUACUGCUGCCAAGAUUUCAGAGAUGAUGCACUCUAAUAGCUUAGAUAAUGCACCGACACAGUCGCUUAUUAGUGUUGUUAAUGGUAUUUUGGAUGAAAGCAUAGAAAGGAAAAAGGGAGAAAUACCACAUCGUGUAGUUUACUUACUGCGGAAAGUCGUUCAAGAGAUUGAGCACCGUCUCUGUAUUCAAGCAGAGCACAUAAGAAGUCAAAAUGUUACCAUCAAGACAAGAGAACAAAAGUACUGUUCAAAAAUUAAAGCACUUGAAAUGUUGGUAAAUGGCACAAAUGAAGAAAACCAGAUGGCAAUAAACAGGCUUCAGAUAGUCAAGAAUGAGAAGUCACAAAUCGAAGAGAAAAAAGAACUCUGUGAGAAAGAUGUUCAACGAUUAAUGAAAGAGAAAGAAUAUUCCAAAAGCAUCAUAAUGAACCUAACAAAAGAUAUGGAAGCCAUGAAUAGAUUGCAUGAGCAGCAACUUGAGCAAAUUGGAAGAAAGGCAAAGGAAAUGGAGGAACAAUUAACCACCAGGGUAAAAGAAGUAGAGUAUCUCUUGCUACAAUCGAAUAAGAAAGUUGAAGAACUUGAGAUUGCUUCUAGGCUAAAAUCACAGUUAUGGGAUCAGAAAGAGAACAUUUUUCAGAGUUACAUGGAUAAUCAACAAUUAGUUAUCAAGGACAUAAGAAUAUUGUCACAGUCAUAUGAAAAUGAUAUGUAUGCACUUCAAAUGCAGUGGAGAAAUGAAAUCUCUAAUUUAGGAUCUGGGUUAAAAUGUUUGGUUGAUGCCGCUGAAAAUUAUCAUAAAGUCCUGACAGAGAACCAAAAGUUAUUUAAUGAAGUGCAAGAACUAAAAGGUAAUAUAAGAGUAUAUUGUCGUGUUAGGCCAUUUCUUUCCGGUCAAGAUAAAAAGUCCACCACAAUUGACUACAUGGGGGAAAAUGGUGAGCUUCUUAUAUCAAAUCCAUUUAAGCAAGGGAAGGACGGACAUAGAAUGUUCAAGUUUAAUAAAGUGUUUACUCCAUUUGCUUCCCAAGCUGAGGUUUUUUCUGACAUACAACCACUGAUCCGAUCAGUUCUGGAUGGAUUCAACGUUUGUAUUUUUGCAUAUGGCCAGACUGGUUCUGGCAAAACUUACACUAUGAGUGGGCCUACCACAUCAAAACAAGAUUGGGGUGUCAAUUAUCGAGCUUUAAAUGAUUUGUUUGAUAUUUCACUAAGUAGGAGAAAUGCCUUCUCAUAUGAGGUGGGGGUACAAAUGGUUGAGAUAUACAAUGAACAAGUCCGUGAUCUGCUAUCAAAUGAUAUUGCACAAAGAAGACUUGGGAUUUGGAACACUUCUCAACCCAAUGGGCUUGUUGUUCCAGAUGCAAGCUUGCACUCAGUUAAGUCGACAUCUGAUGUAUUAGACUUGAUGGAGAUUGGACAAGCAAAUAGAGCAGUUGGUUCAACAGCGCUAAAUGAACGAAGUAGUCGGUCACACAGUAUUCUAACUGUACAUGUUCGAGGGAUGGAUUUGAAGAAUGGAUCAACCUCUAGGGGUUGUUUGCAUCUUAUUGAUCUUGCUGGUAGUGAGAGGGUAGAGAAGUCUGAAGUAACCGGCGAUAGAUUAAAAGAAGCUCAAUACAUUAACAAAUCACUCUCUGCGUUAGGUGAUGUUAUUUUUGCUUUGUCACAGAAAAGUGCCCAUGUGCCUUAUAGAAACAGCAAGUUAACACAAGUUCUUCAAAGUUCUUUAGCAAUUUUGGUUGGAAAAACAGUAUACUGAAAAAAGGGCAAACUUUUACAUGAAUGCUAUGUUAGUAUUUAUCAAGGUUCAACUUUCGAAGCAUGGUUUGCAUACUACUCAAAGGUAUGGCGUGCAUAAAGUGUUUUUGAUUAAUCUUUGCACGAUGACAGUAUUUGUGGAACACAUCCUUCUUUUGUGAAACCAUUUGUCAUGGGCAUCAUAGGGAGCGAGAGGCAACAGCCUGCCUCUCAGCCAGGCUGGGAUAAGGCUAGAGAAUAAGAUUGAAAUGAGCUGGGAUAAGGCUAGAGAAUAAGAUUGAGAUGAGAGAAUUGUGGAGAGUUGGUUAGCAUCAGAUAAGUCCAAGAAAGUAGGAGUUAGUUGAGAGUUUGUAGGAGAAGUUGGUUAGCCAUAGGGCUAUUUAUAAGCCGCAUGGCAGCAGGGAAUAAAUCAAACAAGAUCAUUAUCAAACCAAUCUCUCUCUCCCUUGCAAUGACCCUCUCAAGCGCCUAGGGCUGCUACCCUAGAACCAAGCCUAUAGCAGAGGGGUAUAACCUCGCCGGAGAAGACAACUAUCCCCAUGGACCGAAGGUCCAUGACACCUGGUAUCAGCUCCAGGUUAUCCUCACCACCACCAGCCGCCCAUCCCUCACCACCACCAGCCGCCGCGCCAUCUGCCGCCGCAACGCCCUCCCACCCGCCCUCUCCAACUCCAGAUGCAUUCACUCGGCUCGAAGAGAAGUGAGAUCAAUUCGUUGUGAUGUUCCACCGCUACAAGGAGAAGACAGAGAAGGAACUCCAAGCAGCGGUGCGGCUUCAGGCGGGAGCGCGAGGGUUCCUGGCACGCCGCCAGGUACAAUCCCUUCGUGGGGGCGAGGGUUCCUGGCACGCCGCCAGGUACAGUCCCUUCGUGGGGAGAAGCACCUUGCUGUGGCCUCCAGGGCCACCCCAUGGCCGUCAUCACAUGAGCAGGCCGUGGUGCGCCUGCAAGCCGCAGUGCGCGGCUUCCUUGUUAGGCGGGCGGUGCGGAAGCUGCACUUGCUGAUCAGCUCAUCGCUGCACCAACUCGCAGCCUACGCGCCCAACCACCAGGUCUCGUCUAUACUUUUUGAACCUCCUGCAGAAGUCGCUGGGUAUGUAGCCCCCCUGCACGGCCAAAGAGGGUCGUCUCCUUCAUUCGGGCAACUGCCUUGGUGCUGGACAGACCCAACAUAAGAACGGGCUGGUUCCUCCUUCACCUUUCAUCCAACGUGAAGUCCACAGUUCAGCUCUUUCCUUGGGAUCCAGGAGGACAGGAGGACAUAGCUGCAGUUCAAAUUUAUAUUUUAGUUCCACAAUUAUUUUGUAUUUUCAUCUUAAAUAAUAAAGGUAAGCCGAGAUGUAAAAGGCUUAACCUUAAGUCGUGUCAGGUAAGUCUAUGGCAGCUCGAGGACGAGCUGGUCCUCAAGGGAGGGGGAGAUGUCAUGGGCAUCAUAGGGAGCGAGAGGCAACAACCAGGCUGGGAUAAGGCUAGAGAAUAAGAUUGAGAUGAGCUGGGAUAAGGCUAGAGAAUAAGAUUGAGAUGAGAGAAUUGUGGAGAGUUGGUUAGCAUCAGAUAAGUCCAAGAAAGUAGGAGUUAGUUGAGAGUUUGUAGGAGAAGUUGGUUAGCCAUAGGGCUAUUUAUAAGCCGCAUUGCAGCAGGGAAUAAAUCAAGCAAGAUCAUUAUCAAACCAAUUUCUCUCUCUUGCAAUGACCCUCUCAAGCGCCUAGGGCUGCUACCCUAGAACCAAGCCUACGGCAGAGGGGUAUAACCUCGCCGGAGAAGACAACUAUCCCCAUGACACCAUUGCAGAUUCUUUCCAGGCUCUUACUAGCUGAGUUUUCUGUUAUUUUUUUUAGUAUUUGUUGCGUGCUACUUACUUUUAAGAGUAUUAUUUUUUUAGUAUUUGUUGCGUGCUACUUACUUUUUUAGUAUUGAUAAUGCUGUAUUAUCGUGCAUGUAAUGCCUGUCUUUUGCUGUGAUUAUCUCAGUGUUGAAACAACAGCAUUUUACAAAUUUUGUCCAGGUUGCGUCUUUGAAAGACACAAUUUUGCGCAAAGAUAUGGAAAUAGAGCAGAUCCAGGUCAUCAAAGACAAAGUAAAAUCCCCAAAUUUGUUGUUAGAUAGAAAUGUGCCUGGCUUGACGAAGACUACAGCAAACCAACCUAGCCAACUAUUAUCAGGCGAACGAAUGCUUAAGUCUAGUGACAGAGUUCUAUCGGAUCGUCAGAGUUACGGCGAGGUGAAUGUAGAUCCUAACCACCAUGUGAUGGAUACUGCACCAGUGAGCAUAGAUGAAGCAGGAUAUGAGAACAAUGCAUCGGAUGAUGGUUUAUCGGGUGAAACCGAGAAUGAUAAUUCAGCUGCUGAGAUGACAGCGGAACGGCUGCAUAGAUUUCCAUCAAGAAUAAGCAGGUUCACUCUCACAAAGAACGGGCAGCCAUCUAUGUCUAGAUCGAACCCAAAGGAUGCUAAGACUCCAAGCAAUACGAAAGCUCCAUCGAGCCGGUUGACAGGAGGCUCUUCAGCCAGGUCUAAAAGACGGCAGUAGAGCACGAUCAUGUUGCUCGUUUUGAUGUGCAUUGUAGUUGAAAUGUGAAUUUGAUGGGUAGUUGUAGGACCGUUUUAUGAUUGUAACUUUAGAAAAUGUCAGACACUGAUGGCAGAAUAUUUGAGGCAUUUGUUUGAUCAUUUGCUUAUGCCGAGCAAAACAGCAAACAAUGCUCGAUUGUAUGUGAAACACUCUGACCUGUGACCAUUUGAAUGUCGGUGCGCCUCCGGAAGUCCGGAGUUGUGUAUAUACCACCAAAUUGCCGGCCUAAAAUUUCCAGUUUGAUGCA